rnacentral:rRNA from 1 species
AGAGUUUGAUCCUGGCUCAGGACGAACGCUGGCGGCGUGCUUAACACAUGCAAGUCGAACGAGAUCCAUGGUGUAGCAAUACACCGGAAGAUCUAGUGGCGAACGGGUGAGGAACACGUGAGAAACCUGCCCCAGACUUUGGGAUAACAAGUGGAAACGCUUGCUAAUACCGAAUGACGUCGGAGAACCGCAUGGUUCACUGACGAAAGGAAUUCCGGUUUGGGAGGGUCUCGCGGCCUAUCAGCUUGUUGGUGGGGUAAUGGCCUACCAAGGCAACGACGGGUAGCUGGUCUGAGAGGAUGAUCAGCCACACUGGGACUGAGACACGGCCCAGACUCCUACGGGAGGCAGCAGUGGGGAAUCUUGCGCAAUGGGCGAAAGCCUGACGCAGCAACGCCGCGUGCGGGAUGAAGGCCUUCGGGCUGUAAACCGCUUUCAGCAGGAACGAAAAUGACGGUACCUGCAGAAGAAGGAGCGGCCAACUACGUGCCAGCAGCCGCGGUGACACGUAGGCUCCAAGCGUUGUCCGGAUUUAUUGGGCGUAAAGAGCUCGUAGGCGGUUGAGUAAGUCGGGUGUGAAAACUCUGGGCUUAACCCGGAGACGCCAUCCGAUACUGCUCUGACUUGAGUUCAGGAGGGGAGUGGGGAAUUCCUAGUGUAGCGGUGAAAUGCGCAGAUAUUAGGAGGAACACCGGUGGCGAAGGCGCCACUCUGGACUGAAACUGACGCUGAGGAGCGAAAGCAUGGGUAGCAAACAGGAUUAGAUACCCUGGUAGUCCAUGCCGUAAACGGUGGGCACU